AGAGUUUGAUCAUGGCUCAGAACGAACGCUGGCGGCAUGCUUAAUACAUGCAAGUCGAACGAGAAGCCGGUUUCGGCCGGUGGAAAGUGGCGGACGGGUGAGUAACGCGUGGGAAUCUGCCCUUGGGUACGGAAUAACGUCUGGAAACGGACGCUAAUACCGUAUGGUCCGGUAACGGUAAAGAUUUAUCGCCCAAGGAUGAGCCCGCGUCAGAUUAGCUUGUUGGUGGGGUAACGGCCUACCAAGGCUACGAUCUGUAGCUGGUCUGAGAGGAUGAUCAGCCACACUGGGACUGAGACACGGCCCAGACUCCUACGGGAGGCAGCAGUAGGGAAUAUUGGACAAUGGGCGAAAGCCUGAUCCAGCAAUGCCGCGUGAGUGAUGAAGGCCUUAGGGUUGUAAAGCUCUUUCGGCGGGGAAGAUAAUGACGGUACCCGCAGAAGAAGCCCCGGCUAACUCCGUGCCAGCAGCCGCGGUAAUACGGAGGGGGCUAGCGUUGUUCGGAAUUACUGGGCGUAAAGCGCGCGUAGGCGGCUUACCAAGUUGGGGGUGAAAUCCCGGGGGCUCAACCUCGGAAUUGCCUCCAAAACUGGUUCGCUCGAGUCCGGAAGAGGAGAAUGGAAUUCCCAGUGUAGAGGUGAAAUUCGUAGAUAUUGGGAAGAACACCAGUGGCGAAGGCGGUUCUCUGGUCCGGUACUGACGCUGUGGCGCGAAAGCGUGGGGAGCAAACAGGAUUAGAUACCCUAGUAGUCC
rnacentral:rRNA from 1 species